GCAGGCUCUGUCAAUCAUAGCCAGGGGAGGUGUGGCUAGGGCUGCAUAAACAGAAACAAAGUGAUUUAACUCCUAAAUGACAGUGAAUUGAGCAGUGAAAUUGCAGGGGAAUGAUCUAUACACUAAAACUGCUUUAUUUAGCUAAAGUUAUUUAGGUGACUAUAGUGUUCCUUUAACCCUCGGGUUAAAAAAAAUAUAUCAGAGCACAGUA